CUUUUGGAUCACUUGUUCUGGAAGAAGCCAGCUGCCAUGCUGUAAGGACACUCAAGCAGUUUCCCCACGUGGGAACAGCCAACAUCAACUUGCUAGCCAUACAAGUGAGGCAUCUUGGGAGCAGAUCUUCUAGUCCCCAUGAAGCCUUUAGAAGACUACAGCCCUUCUAACUUUUUCACUGCAACCUCAUGAGACAUCACAGCCACCACCGAGCCGUCCCCACCGAGGAGAGGGGAGACAGGGAGGCAGUGAGCAAACGACGCUGCCCUCAGGAGCCGCAGUUCUUCACCUUCUGCUCUGUGACGGCCUGGAGAGCGGGGCCAGCAUUCCCAACAGGCCUUUCCAGCCAACAAGGAAAGGAACCAAGGAGCCAGCCAGAGGACAAGCUCUUUCCGCCAUUUCCUGGUCUGCUGUACUGCUCCUUCCUUCCAAAGGAGGCAAAUGCUGUGAGAGGAGAAGAGCCAGCCAUGCAAAGGUCUGAGAGGAGAGUAUUUCAGGCAGAGGAAACCACAAGCGCAAAGGCCCUGAGGCUGCAAAGAGCUCGGUUCUGUAAACCCCCGGAAAGCCAGUAUGGCUCCAGCACAGGGUGGAAGAGAAGACUGACAUGUGAUGAGGAUACAAGGAGAAGAUGGCAACCCGCAAACCACGAGAAGUACUCUCACCAGACACCAGAUCUACUGAUACCCUGAUCUUGGACCUCCCAGCCUCCAGGCUAUGACAGAAAAAUGUUUGUUGUUUAAGCCACCCUGUCUAUGGUAUUCCGUUAUAGCAGCCCGAACUAAAGACAUAGGCAUAUUUUAAGUAUCUUUUAACGUUGGCCUCCUCUCAAUGAGAUUUCUCCAUCUGGCCUGCCCAAAGAACUCCACGUGGCGAAGCUUUUUACUGUGGCCCAGGCAGCAGUACAUCAUCCGACAUUGCUUCCCAUUGCCCCUGGCCUCACAUUCCUCUUCUGUCAUCUCAUAGCAUUAGCCUUAAACCUUGCCACAGGCUCUGUUUUCUUGCGAAGUUUGACUAAAAUGGGAAGAAAUAGAUUUGUGGACACAACUCAAGAAUCAUUUUGGAGUGUAGACAACUAUUUGGAGAAGUUUGGGUGUAAAGCAACAGAGAAAUGGGGCAACAUCUACAGGAGCAUUGAUGAGAGAGAACCUAUGAAGCGGUGAUCUCGGAGCGUAAGAAAGUCUGUUUUUGAGGGCAAAGUGGUAGAAUUCCUGGCCAUGUCGAAUAUCCAUAUGAGAUUUAUGACCACAUGAUCCUUGUCAGCCUGGUUUUCUGAUUUUUCUUGAGCAGAACUCAGCUGCUGGGAUGCAAGCACAAAGAGUGGAGUUGGGUUCAUCUUGGUUAAGUUAGGGAUAAGUGAGAGGGCUAGAGGGAGAAAGGCAGGAAAUCUGGGCCGGAAAAAGAGGAAAGUCAAGUCAGGAGAGAACUGGUAGAUGUUAAGAAAGAAGAGAG
rnacentral:lncRNA from 1 species